UCAGGGGUAGCUUAAUGGCAUAGUUCAUGUUUAUCACACAUGAAGUCUGGGUUUAAUUUCCAGCACCAAAA
rnacentral:tRNA from 1 species